AUACGGAGGGGGUUAGCGUUGUUCGGAAUUACUGGGCGUAAAGCGCACGUAGGCGGACUGGAAAGUUGGGGGUGAAAUCCUGGGGCUCAACCCCGGAACUGCCUCCAAAACUUCCAAUCUAGAGAUCGAGAGAGGUGAGUGGAAUUCCAAGUGUAGAGGUGAAAUUCGUAGAUAUUUGGAGGAACACCAGUGGCGAAGGCGGCUCACUGGCUCGAUACUGACGCUGAGGUGCGAAAGCGUGGGGAGCAAACAGAAUUAGAAACCCCAGUAGUCC
rnacentral:rRNA from 1 species